UCGACCGUGAGGUCGAAUCUGAAGGAAGUCGGCGGCAAACCUCCAGUUCGAGGAACACGAACCUCAUAUAAGGCUAACGUUCGUCAGAUGAGGCUGCCAAACAAGUCAAAGUCUAUACUCCAAGGCGAAUGGGAGUAAAUGAGGUGAAUAGAUGGAGGGAAAGAUAGCGUU
rnacentral:ncRNA from 1 species